rnacentral:lncRNA from 10 species
GGAGUGUAAUCCAAAGUGAAAGGGCAAGGGAGGUCUAGCUAGAGGGAGGGUGGCAGGGGAUCGGGGCCUGGUGUGGAAGUCAUGCGUUGCACUCAUGUGUGCAUGGACCCCAGCAGGGUAAGUGUGAGGCCACAGGCGGGACCCCAUGUGCCAUGCUUAGGGGUUCAGACAUUGUCCUGGAGAUGAUGAAGGACCCCUGAGAGUUUUAAGCAGAGUUGGGUGUGAAGAUGGAUCUGAGAGGCCAAGACCGAGCAGGGAGACAAGUCAUGAUGGUCCUGAUCCGAGACGGUGUGGGAGGUGGGAACUGACUUUAAGAUGGUGGAAAUGCAAAGCCAGGUGAUGUUUCUGGGACAGGAUUGACCAAAUCUAGUGACCUACUAGAUAUAGGGAGAAAAAAUAAGGAAAGCAUAGGGGAUCACACUGAGGGUUUGCAUUUGAGAGACUAGAGUCAGGAGGCAAGGCAGGAUGGGGGUGGAGAAGGGGAAUGAUGGGGCUGAAAUUAGACCACAGUGGUGGUGGGAAUGUGGACACUGAGGGAAGAGGAGGCAGUGAGCACACGAGUCUUUCAUGAUGUUUGGUGAUGAAGAGAAGGAGGGAUGUUCUGUAGCUUUAAAGGAUUUUUCAAAAGUAGGAGAAAGAACCUGUUUGUAAGUAGAGGGAAGAUACGGUAGAGAGGGAGAGAUCAUAGGGUGUAGAGAACUGCCAUUUGCUGAGUGGGUGCCGCUUGCAGGCCCGGAGCCAUGCCCUUAACAUGCAUAUCUCAUUUCAGCAGCAUGCCAACCCAUGGGGUAGCUCUACUUAUACCCAUUUUCUGAAUGAAGAAACUGAGGCAGACCGAUGGAUUCACCCAGGGAUGGGACUUGCUGAGCAGUUGAAGCAAAAGAAUAGAGUGACUGGGAAGGGAAGAAAAUGAAGUCAAACGAAAGCUAAUAGAAUGGGGUGGCGGAGUGCGGGGCUUAACGGGCUGAGGGGUGUCUAUAUUCCAGACGUGGGAUUUGGAGUUGUUCUGGCUAAUGUCAAAGACCACACACAAGGACAUGGACGUCAACGGUUCAUUCACAUGAGAUGACAGUUACCCAGGAUGAACCAACUGCAAAAAGCUGUCUGUGGAUGGUAACUGCAGGUGACCUGAAUGCAUGUGCCUCCUCCUUCUUUUUCCGCUUUUUGUCUUUUCCUUAAGCCUCUCUGAACAGUAUCUUCAGAAGUGUCUGUUUCCCACAGAGCAUGGUGUGUCCAAGAAAUACCCCACAUUCCCAUUGCCUUUGCUAUUUAAUGCUGUAGUUGGGAGAGGCAGUCUUGCUUUCUGCUUGCCUGUCUUUUUGGAGCACAUAUGAACUACAAAUAGAUACAGCCCACAUUUUGCCUCAAAGAUAUAUUCUUUGUUUUCUCCAAGUUGCCAAGUUGAACUCUAAGCUGAUGUUUAAUUUAUCUGUGGUAAUGAGGAACGGGGAUAGCCUUGCAUAAUUGGAAUCUGAAGAUAAGCCAAAAGCUUCUUUUAGCCAAAAUUCCUACAUCCUUUCCCACCAACUCUUUAUGCCUGUGUUGCUAACAAAUGGCAAAUUGACUAAUCUGAGUUUCACCAGUUCUUUGUGUGGUGUAUCUGACCUUUCACAAUGGGUUCAUACCAGAGUCCACUUCCAUGGUCCUUCAAGAUGUGGGUGUCUGGUUCUCAGGUAACCAACCAAAACCUUUGUACCUACCACUCAUGUAUAUUUCAGUUGAAGUUAGAAAAGCACCCCCUCAGUCUAUAGCUAACCUCUGGUGAAAUUGAGGAAUGAAUGAAUUGCUAAGCCAUCUAUAAAUAGAAUUCCGGGACAAUUCAUCUGAUGUGAGAGACAACCCUUUGAUAGGUUUCUGAGAAGAUGUGUGAAGCCACUACUCUCAAUUGUUCUUUCAUUUACUUUUUGCUAAUCAAAGCCCCAGACAUAUUCCAAAAUGUGAGAUGUUUUGGAAGAUUAACCAAAACACAAGCUGAAAUUUACCAGGGGCUCUGUAUAAAGUUAUACCCUUAGGCUUUUAUUCUCAAAGCCCUCCCAAGUACAGAAGUGUAGCAUGGGAUGAUGUGACAUAGAAUCGCAGAGUGGGAGGAGCCCACCAUACUUCAAUUCAGUGUAUCCAGAAGGAAAACUAAGGUUCACAGACUUGCUUAGGGGCUUAGUCAAGGGACUAUUUGUUCAGAACCAACAUUCAUACAAAGAGUCUUAAAUUUAAAAGGGGAUUUAUUUCAGAGAAACCUCAUGGAAACCAGUUGAAAGAGGGUUAGUGGGGACUUUCGGGAAGUGAAAAGUCGCUGGUUAAUUUCUCUGUUUCUAUCUCUGUGGGGCCUUGCAGAUUCUUUUCUUUGCUUCCGGGAGCCUUCUUCAUAUCUGCAGUGGAUAUGAGGUGAUAUGGUUUGGCUCUGUUCCCCACCCAAAUCUCAUCUCGAAUUGUAAUCCUACGAUCGCCACGUGUCAAGGGCAGAAACUGGUAGGAGGUGAUUGGAUCGUGGGGGCAGUGUGCUGUUCUCGUGAUAGUGAGUGAGUUCUCACGAGAUCUGAUGAUUUUAUAAAGGGCUCUUCCCCUUUCGCCAUUCACUCUGUCCUGCUGCCUUGUGAAGAAGGUGUCUGCUUCCUCUUCACCUUCUGCCAUGAUUGUCAGUUUCCUGAGGCCUUCCCAGCCAUGCUGAACUGUGAGUCAAUGAAACCUCUUUCCUUUAUAAAUUACCCAGUCUCGGGUAUUUCUUUAGAGCAGUGUGAGAAUGGACUAACACGAGGCUUCGCUGGUCUCUCAUGACCAACCCAAAAGGCAAGGUCAGCUUCCAUGUCUCAAUGGCCUUCCAGUGAGGCCCCUCACAGCUAACUGACCAGGGCAGGGGUCUCCUUGGUCCAGCUGAGAUCAGGGCCUGGCUCCGGCCCAUGCCUGUGGUAAGAGUGGGACUAUCCCUUGUGGAGCUGACAAGGGCUGACUCUCUGUAAGGGUGGCUAAGGCACUACUGGCCACUCUGGUGCCCCAGGAUGGCACAGGCAGGUCAGAACCUGGCUGUCACUCCAGGCCAGCCUUCUGCCACUGACUGGAAAGGUGGGCUCAAACACAACUGCAGUUAAAAGAGAGGAAUUGCCCCGGAGGUGAAUGCAGUCACCUGCAUAGGGGAAAAGGAGGUGAGAGGCCUGCUCUACUCCCCCUGAUCAGAUGCCAUCCAAGGGCACAUGGCUGACAUGUUUGAAGAAAAACCCAGAGUCAACUCAGAGCCCAACUCAGGCCUGAUAAAAAGUGACUAUGAUGAUGAAGAGAUUCAAAAUUAUGCUGCAGAAGGAAUGGCUGGAGGGUCUAGGCGUAUUUCACCUGGAAAGAGGAAGCUUUAAAGGAGAUGUGAGUCUUUUGUCCAAAUGUGUAGACUGACUAAAUUCUUUAAAGAGUUUUAUGUUUGUGUAUAUCUGAAGGGUCCAGAACUAGCAUCAAAGGGUAGAAUUUAGAGGGAGGAAGACUUUGGAUUAAAAUUAGGGGCCACAUACUUUCUGUGAGGGUAUCUUGAUAUUGGCUGCCCUGUCACAUUUAAGAAAGGAUGGGAUGAUCAUUCGUAAGAGAAGCUGUAGAGCUGAUCCACAAACUAAGGGAGUUCUGAAGUCUAUUCUAGUUUGGAAUUCUAUGGCUCUGCUGCAGGUGCAUCUGGUUGGCUGGAUUGAUUGCUAUCACAGGGGCAGAGGCCACUGUGUAUGAUCACUUAGGUCAGUGAAAUCAGUAGAGGCCAAGCGGCUGCACCACUGGAGGACAGCAGGUUGCCCUGAUCCUGAAUCCCUUCAACACUGGGCCUUCUCACAUCUGUUUGAGACAAGCCACUUUCAGCUGAGAUGCACUAGAUCCUUCAAGCCUCUCUACCACCCACAGGGUCACCAUCUGCUGGAGCGGCCAGUGGGGCUGCAGGUUACCCAUCAAAGCCCAAGCUAUGAAAUUGUCAUUGAGAGGAGUGCUUUAGACAUAGAGCUCAUUUGGUGGCAGAGAUCAGAAGCUUGUUCAAAGCAGCCUGGAAUUUUUAAAAGAAUAAGGGAAACAUGUAAAGGCAGCUUGCAGUCUAUCUGAGAAAACAAGACAUACCCUCAAGCAGAUAAUUGCCAUUUACAGUCAUUCCUAUGAUCUCAGCACUAUGUGGGUUUAAUCAGCCUUCUGCUAAAAGGAACCAGGUCCAAGACAUUCAGCAUGGCAUGGUAGCUAAGCAAGAUCCAGUGUCUUCAUUCAGCACUGACAGAGUCACUGUCUCUGAGCAGUACUUAGCUACAGAAACUUUGAAGCCUUCUGCAAUUUAUUAUGCUGAGUGCAUCUAAUCAACAUGUAGAAUAAAGAUGGAGCUCCAGAGAAGUUAGCACGCAAUCUGGGUGACAGGUGCUGAGCAAGGACAGCCUCUUCCCAAUACUCUCCAAGCGGCCUGCUGUUUCCAGGGAAUGAUAUUAUCAUUCUUGGCAUCUAGAACAGGACUCAAUGUAAGAUUGUCUAAGGCAGUCACUGGCUACAGUUCAUGGAAGCUUCAGGACGGCACUUGGCAUGAGCUCUCAGUGCUAUGGAAAAAAGAAGCUCUUAGGUGGAAUAUUUCUAGCUAAAAAAUGUAUAGUUUUUUUUGUUGUUGUUUCUGUUCCUUUCAUUUUUAUUUUUAGAAAUAGGAUUUCAAAGGGCAUUUGUCCUGGUCCCUCAGGAAAGAACAUUUUCUAAAGUGUUCCCAUCAACAAUGCCUCAGGUGUUACAGGUCCCUACUCUUGGCCAUCCAGCUCUGCCACCGUGCCUGGAUUCUGCAUUUUCAAAGGGACCAGCUUACCAGCAGCAUCCUCUUCCUGCUGCCUCUUGACUCACACAGAUCCCAUCAAUAAGCAUUCACUGAGGCCUGCUCUAAGUGAGGCUCUGGGGAGAGUGCUGUGGGAGCUUCAAGAGCAAUAGCAGCCCUGAGCUCCAGGAGCUUCCCCUCUGAGGUGGGGAAUUGCGAUGCAUGGAACAUCUCCAACACACAAAGCAGACUCUUGCUAGGCUUCGAACUGGAAUUGCAUUGAUCGUAUUAACUUGGGGGAGAUCUGAUAUAUUUAAAAGAAAAAAAUAAGCCGGGCAUGGCGGCUCACGUCUGUAAUCCCAGCACUUGGGGAGACUGAGGUAGGUGGAUCAUUUGAGGUCAGGAGUUUGAGACCAGCCUGGCCAACAUGGUGAGACCCCGUCUCUACUAAAAAUACAAAAAUUAGCCGGGCGUGGUGGGUGCCUGUAAGCCCAGCUACGUGGGAGGCUGAGGCAGGAGAAUCGCUUGAACUUGAGAGAUGGAGGCUGCAGUGAGCUGAGAUCAUGCCACUGCACUUCAGCCUGGGUGACAGAGUGAGACUCUGUCUCAAAAAAGAAAAAAAAAAAAAAAGAAAAAAAUAUAGGCGAUGGAACAGAAAAGUGGGCAGUGGCUAUGAAGAUGCAAUCCAAAUAUAAGGUAAUACUUAUCACCAAAGAAAUAGCAAUUAAGACAACAGUGAGACAGCAUCUUGUGUCUGUCAGAUUGGAGGAAAAAUACUAAAUUGAAUAAUGUGAAUUGUUGUUGAGGAUUGUGGAACUAGCCUUCCAUGAAACGUUUCUAGAAGUCUAAAUGAGUGUAGACACUCCAGAGAGCAAUCUGGCGGUAUUUAGCAAUCCCAUACCUGGGCAUAUAACUUGGACAAACUCUGAUUAUAACAGACUAGGCCCAAGGAUAUGUUUAUUGCAGUAUUAUUGGUGGUAGUGAUGAGUUGGAGGCAAUAUAAGUUUCUACCACAAGGAGGGUUGAUAUGAGCGUUUGAUGAAUAGUAUGCAGUAGUCAGAAUAAUAAAACAGAUGUACACUCAGCAUGGAGAAAUCUGAAUAAGAUACUGUUGGCUGAUGACAGUAAGACAUGGAUUGAGAUAUAUAGUAGAGUGUCAUUUAUAUAAAUUCAAAACACGUGCACAAGAUGAUCAUGUCUCUAGUAGCUACAAAAGUGCUUGAUACAGAGUAGGCCUUCAGUAAAUUGUUUUACUUGUUGUCAAUAAAAAUAUAUAUACUAAAUAAAUAUCUAACAUUUAUGUAAGUUAAGAAUACAUAGACAUAUACAUAUUUUAAGGGUAUAUACAAAUGCGAAACAUAAUUUAAGGGUACGGCUCUUCUGGAUAGUCCAGCGUUCAAAUGGAGUUCUCUGGAGUGAAGUAAAAUUAAUUCACAAACCUCUGUUGCAUCCAAGGUCAAAUACUCUCACGAACACCCACUCUCUGUUCCCUGGUUUAAUACUCACUGAGUAACAUUCUGAAGCCUGAGACUUUUAUACAUACCCAGUUUCCAGAAAAGGCACAAAGAAGCUUUCCCCAAAAGAAAAUACAUGAAUAUUCCAUUUAUUUAAAAACAUCCGAGCAGGUCUAAGCAAUAUAAAUUAAUAUAGCAGCAUCAGUGUCUUGUGAGUUAAGACGAGUGUCCUAAGAUUUAGUUGCUUAACUGAUUCCUCUAUGUCCCUAAAUCAAAUGAUGAAAUACAGAUUUAGGUUCCAUUUUUUUGAAAGAAUACUUCAUAGGUCAUUCUGUCUACUUCCUACUGCACCACAUUUAGGAGGGAGGCACAUCAUGUGUGGUUGUCUCUUUAGUAAUUCUGAGAUUGGUCAAGGGGUCCAGGUGGUGUCUGACCUUAUUCCAUCAUUACAAAAGAAGUCACCAUCUACUUUUUACCUAGUGGUUUCAGUAUCUUUGGAUAAUCACUGCCCGGAUUUAUCAAGGUUUGCAAAAUGAUUUUCUAAUUCUGUGGUUCCUUCUAUACACAUUAGCUGGGAUUCUUCAAAAUGUAACUUACAAAACAAACAAAAUCACUAUCAAGACUUGACAUUCCUUCUUCCAUAUCAAUUUUCAGAAUAGUGAUAAAAGUUACCAGUAAUGAUUUCUAGUGGAGACCAAUAUGUUUUUCUCAUCAUUAUAUACUUUUUUUUUUUUUUGAGACAGAGUCUUGCUCUGUCACCAGGCUAGAGUGCAGUGGUGUGAUCUCUGCUCACUGCAACUUCCGCAUCCUGGGUUCAAGCAAUUCUCCUGCCUCAGCCUCCCAAGUAGCUGGGACUACAGGUGCACACCACCACGCCCAGCUGAUUUUUGUAGUUUUAGUAGAGACAGGGUUUCACCAUAUUGGCCAGGAUGGUCUCGAUCUCUUGACCUCGUGACCUGCCCACCUCAGCCUCCCAAAGUGCUGGGAUUACAGGCAUGAGCCACUGCGCCCAGCCCAUAAAUUUUUAUAUAUUUGAUGAGGUUGAAUUAAUUGCCAUCAUUAUUCUCUUUUCUCUCUCUCUUUAGGAUCCUUAAACAGCUUAUAUUCAAUAAACUGCAUAUGUUUAAAUGGCACACUUUGUAAAGUUUGGUGAUACUGUACAGUCACAAAAGCAUAAUCAAUGUAGCAAACAUAUCUAUUGUAAUCUAAAAUGUCCUUGUGCCUUUUUUAACCUCCUGCUCCUCCUCCAUACUAUAUCCCCAGGCGACCUCUGAUUUACUUUAUGUUGGAAUUUUUGAGAAAUUCAUACAAAUGGCAUUAUUUAGUAUGUACUCUUUGUGUCUGACUGCUUUUACUCAGCAUAAUUAUUUUGAGAUUCAACAUGUUGUCUGUAUCAAUACCUUUAAUUGUCAAGUGGUAUGCUAUUGUAUGACUAUGUCACAAUUGUUUAGCCAUCGAUGAACAUUUGGGUCGUUUCCAGUUUGGGGUUACUACAAAUAAAGCUGCUAAGAACAUUUUUAUAUAAAUCUUUGUGCAGACAUAGAUUUUAUUUCUAUGGGAUAAAUACCUACUAGUGGAAAGGCUACAUCAGAUAGUAGGGUAUAUACUUAACUUUUCAAAAAAAACUGCAAAUGUGCUUUCCAUAGAAGUGCUAUUGCACAUUUCUCCUGAGCAUGAGAAUUUCAAUUCUUCCCCAUUCUCUCCAAUAUUUAGUAUGGUCAGACCUUAUAAUUUUAUCCAUUUUAAUAGGAGUAUAUUAUGGUUUGAAUGUGUCCCCUCCAAAAUUCAGGUGUUGACAUUUAAUGGCCAAUGUGAUAGUAUCAAGAGAUAGGACCUUUAAGAGGUGGUUAGGUCCUGAGGACUCCUCACUCAUGAAUGGGAUUAAGAGAUUUCGUGCAGCUUUUGACUCCCUUGCCCUUUCACCUUUCACCAUGUGAGGACACAGUGUUCCUCCCCUCCAGAGGACGCCACAACUGGGCGCCAUCUGGGAAGCAGAGGGCAGUCCUCAAUAGACAAAGGAACCUGCCAGCAUCUUGAUCUGGGACCUUGCAGCCUCCAGAAACUAUGAGAAAUACAUUUUUGUUCUUUGAUAAAUUACCCAGUCUUCUGUAUUUUGUUAUGGCAGCACAAAAAGAACUGUGACACUGUGUACAUGUACUUAAUCGUGGUUUUACAGCAGUCUCCCUUUCUCUGCUGUUUCACUUUUUUGUUGUUUGUUUGUUUUGAGAUGGAGUCUCGUUCUUGUCGCCCAGUCUGGAGUGCAAUGGCGUGAUCUCGGCUCACCGCAACCUGUCCUCCUGGGUUCAAGCAAUUCUUCUGCCUCAGCCUCCGAAGUAGCUAGGCUUACAGACACGUGCCACCACACCCUGCCAAUUUUUGUAUUUUUAGUAGACAGGCUGUUAGGCAGGCUGGUCUUGAACUCCUAACCUCAGGUGAUCCGCCCACCUUGGCCUCCCAAAGUGCUGGGAUUACAGGCAUGAGCCACCGCACCCAGCAUGCUGAUUCACUUUCUGCAGUUUCAGUUACCCACAGUCAACCAUGGGCCAGAACAUAGUUACACUGCCACAAGUUGUGGAUGGGAGGGCUGGAUUUCCUGAACCCUUCCCAGCAUUGCUCGAGUUUCUUGGUUCCUCCGCUAGAGAAGAGGAGCCCCAGAGCUCUGUAGGCUCCAGAAAAGUGCCCAAAUCAUAAGCAGACAUCUCAUUGGAUUUACUGAGCACACCCAGGUAUCCACCACCCAAGGGAAGCAACGAAGGUGACCCCACCCAGCAUUUACCCUGUGUCCCUAUCUUGGACAUUGAUUCUGCUCCAGAGGUCACAAUCUCAUGCCGCCAAUUGCCAUAGAUUCGUUUUGCUUGGUCUUAAACUUUAUAUAAAUGAAAAUUCAACUUUAUGCUGUCUACAAGAGGCAUACUAACUCAUAAAAAUUAAAAGACUGACCCAGAAAACACAGCAAAAAGAAAAAUAUCACGAAAUGAUUGUCAGUCCAAUUAAAAUUCAAGACUGGAAGAAUUCAUGGGUCAGAGAAGAACAGCUGGUACAAGUGGAUCUGCUCGGCACCUAUAACCUAAUUACCUCUCAGGCUCACACAAGUCUCUGGCCGCUAAGCGAAUGAUCUCCCAAAGGGAUUAUUCUCAAGCAGCACAGAAACUGUCCCUAUGCCUCAGGUGGCCCCAGAACUCUUUCGUACUAGAGACUUAUCUGUUAAUAAAGUUAACAAAGGAAAGUGGCCUUCCAAGAAUGUUUGUUUGGGCCACUACCUGGAAGAAAUAACACUUGACCAUGAGAGACUUGGCUGAGCAGUGCUGGGUCAGCUUAACCAAAGAAGACCAGCCAUCACCCACGGCAAGAGCAGCUCUGACUUGGACCCACUGUUCCCCCAGCCUGUUAGCAGCCUGUGAACAAUCUUUAAGUGACCCCUGGCCCUGUCACAUCUCCAUUCAACAGGGUUCUUGGGGAGGAUGUGUGGACCGAGAACAGUGCCCACCCACACCACCUGUAAGUGUGGCCACGGCAGCCAGCCAGCAUGGAUGCUAAGUAACAAGUGGUAUUGGGGCACAGAUGUGGCGGGAGCGCUUUGGGGCAAAGAAAGAGGUGCUGUGAGUGAGGACAGAAAGGAAGGGGAAAAAAAAGCCUCAUGGGUUAGAGCGCCUCUCACCUUUGGCUCUUCUUCAGAAGACUGGUAAAAGAAAACAAGAAGAGAAAUUGGUUUCCCUGACUUCUCUAAAGCAAGCGUUCUUCAGAAAAGAGAAUCGAUCAGCCUGGUUAAAGUGGAUAAACUAUGUGAUGUCCAUCCAGAGAGGUGUCUAUUAAUGGCUGUAAAAUGGAAAGAUGAAUCAAUGGGACCGAUUAAUAUUUAUGAAGAGUUGAACUAGGCAGAGUGAAAAAGCCUUGUAUAUUGGAUAAGAAAGGAAAAGCAUUGCACACCAUAGGAUGCGUUUGUUUGGCUAAGGUUUCUGUUUUGAUCACUGGGUAAUUGUAUAGAGCAGGGGCGUAUGGUAGAGAAAGAAAAUCUAUAUCUAGAAGUUAUUGACUUUAUGUACAAAAGCACUGGUUGGUGCCUAUUUUUGAGGACCACUCCAUCUUAAAAAUAACUUUGGUUUUGUACGGCCUAGUUGUGGUGGAAAAGGAGCUCCAAAGAGUAAGCAAGUUUCCUACAAAAAGAAUCCAAGCUGUUGAAACUACAAUUAAGAAAUGCAAAGAGUUACUAAUUUUACUACUUAGAGGAAAGGAAAUUCACAAGCAGGAAAGAAACUGUGGAUCAGGGCAAGUUGUAACUCUAGAGGUUCAGAGAUAGGAGCUCUAAUUACACCAGGGCAAGGGAGUACUGUUUGGGGAAAUUUCUGAAACAUGAAAUAGGAAAGCUGAGGGUCAAAAUGAUAUUGUGAUGUGAAUAAAUAGAGAAGACAUGUUUGCAUGGAGCUCAGCUGGGUAAUCAUGGAAAGAAGGAGGGGCGAAGGAGGAAACUGAAAAUCGAAAUAAAGAACAGAAGCACAGACCAUGAAAUAUGCCAAAUAUAGUGUGCAAAUACUCAGAAGGCAUGGAAAGAUAAGUUAGAAGCCAAAACUCAGUUAUCACUAUCGUGUGAAGGAACAAUAAAACUCUUAGCAAAAACAAAUGACUUAGCAUGAGACCAAUACUGCUUUCCUUAGGUAGCUUGGUCCAGAGGGAAAAGGCUGAUAUCACUCCCUAUCAAGGGUUUUUAGACGGUUUAAGUGAGCUCUGCAAGUGGGAGACACGGUGAUGAUUAUUGACAGUUGCUAUCUUUCAAGGGGGAGAAGCAAACUGAUGUUACACAUUAGAAUUAGUUAGCACCACCGAACACAGGUUACAAAAAUACUGGGAGGAAUUCUCUCUCCUGAGCACAUUACGCAAUAUUUGCAAAUGUGUGCAGGUAAGUGUUGACUCUCUCAUCAUGCUGGACCUGGAAAUGGUUCUCAGCAAAUCAUGGCAUGAUUUCUUUUUCAAAGUUGGGUACACGAAUAUUAUCGUAACCAGCUAAGAGCAGGGAGACGUGGCAUGGGAGACUAACAGAUAGUGCAGCUUUUAAGAGAAGACGUAGAAAUCAAUCUAGUAACAAAUAUUUAUUAAGCAUUGGAGUGUGCUAGGCACCAAGAGAAAAGAAACCUCCACAGCUGAUAAAGCCUUUCAAAAUAAUGUCCUCAGUUAAUUUGCACAUUUCCAUGAGGUAGGUGUUGUUAGCCAUUUCCGUUAAUGAGAAAAAAAAAAAUGAGAUUCAGAAAGGUUAAUUAAAUUGGAGAUCUCCUGAUUUUUUAGUUUUAUAUCCUUCCCGUGUCCUUUCCAGGCUUAUAUUCUGGUCCUAUCACUUCUCAGCUGAGUUACUUCAACAAGUUAUUUAUUCUCUGUGUUCCCAGCUGUCAAAAUGAAAAUGCCAGUACCCACCUGGUAAGGAGUGAGAGAACAUUUAUAAAAAUGCUCGGCUGGGUACCUGACACAUAGGAGGUCCUCAGUAAAUUUGUUUUCUCCCUUUCUUCCUGAAGUACGGUGGCAGAGGGAUUCAGCCAGCCAGCCUGGGUAGCACAAGCCAUGAUGCCCUGCUGAAUCUGUGUUCUAGGGUCGGACAGGGGGAGUCCUUUUGCCUAGAGGGAUGGUGUGCGAGGCCUAAGAGGACUUGGGCAGAGUCUUGAAGGACGAGCAGGAUUUGCUGUGGUGGAGAGGUGGUCACGGGUUGAGCAGAUAGGAGAACCAAGGAAUCAAGGCAGGGAAAGAGAGGGGAUGCAUGUGAAGGGCCAGGAGCUGUUAACUAGUUUGCUAAGCAGCAGGCGAGGAUUUAGAAGGAGUUGGAGAAGUGUGGAGGGAGCUGAGGCUCUUGUGAGGGGAACUUUUAUGCUAAGGGUUCCAACUUGGCCCUGUGAAUGAAGGUGAGCUGGGGAAGGUUUGUGAACUUGGAGUCUCACCUGUAAAAGAUUAAUCUGGUGCCAGUGUACAGAAUGGACCGUCAAGGAAGAGGUGGAAAAACAAGGAAAAUUUGUAUUUUAUAGACACACACACACAUAGACACAGAGCCCUUUUUAUUAGAAAACAUAUAAUCAACUUAACCCCAUUUUAAAUGGCUUGGACAUUAAUUUUACUCUUGUAAUUGAUUAUAGAGGUUUAAAACUGUUGUGUUUUUGCCUUUGUGACAUAUUAUGGCUGUAUCUAAAAUUUAUUUGAUGUUAAAUCAAGAACAAAACUCUUCAAUUCUAUUGUUGUUCCUAAGGUAAAAUAUAAUCUACUUUGAGUCAAUUCACUGUGUCAUAAACUUUCCAGGAAUGGGAAACUUGAUAAAAAGCAGAGACUCACUGCAUAUGACAAUAAUUAAAUCUAUAUUCAACAAGUAUAAAAGAAUGGUUGUAGGGGUGAGCAAUUUGGAAGAAAAAAAGCCACUUGACUUAAAUAUGACAGAAAAUCAUACUGAGGUCUGACACCCCAUGACCUUUUUUGAGAUUUGAGGUUAUGCCAUGUAUUUGAGAAUAAAUAAAAUCCAUUUAAGUGUCUAUAUUAUUAAAUGAAUCGUAUUUUCAGAAAGCAUUAGAUAAAGUCUGUUUUAGACCUUGGAAUCCAUUUUUCUCAUGAACACAAUAUCGUAAAUAGAUGAGAAUUGAGUUCCCAGUCUAUAAAACCCUUAUUAAAUCAUCAUGUAGCUGAACUAUUCUAUAUUGGCAAUCAAUAGAGUUGAGUAAUCUUUUCAUAGUCACAGUGAUAAAAAAACAAAAAAUAUUGAAGAAGUAAUUUUUCAAAAAAUAGAGGUAUAGCACGUUUAAUUAUGGAUUAAGAGGCCGAUAAAUAAUUUUGUGGUGAUUCUGAAGAGACUAUCUGGGCACUUUCAAAAGCUUUAGAGUUGAUAAACUGUUCUUAUUAUGUCUAAUUUAAUAUUCAAAAUUUAUGACCAUUCAUUCAUUCAUCAAACAUAACUUAGAUAUCUACAAUAGGUAUUGUGCUAGCCGCUGGAGAUUUCAAUGUAAUGAAACAGUUCCUAACUUAAAGAAAAGCAGCACUUGAAAUUUUACUAAUGCAUUCAGUCAUUUACUUAACAGAUACUGAAUGUUUGCUACCGUGAGUCUAUUAUUCCUAUGCGUAUCAACUCCCAGGAAGCAUGUGUAGCUCGCUGAUGGAAUACAGAGAAAUAUUCCUGAGAGAAUACCAAAAAUAGUCCGUUUGUGCUACUAAAACAAAAUGGCUGAGACCGAGUAGCUAGCUUAUAAAGAACAGAAAGCUAUUUUCUCACAGUUCUGGAGGCUGGGAAGUCCAAGAUAAAAGCACCAACGGGUUUGGUUGUCUGGCAAAGGCUUCUCUCUGUUUCCAAGAUGGUGCCUUGUUGCUGUGUCCUCCAGAGGGAAGGAAUGCUGUGUCUUCACAUGGCAGAAGGCUGAAGGGCAAGUGAGCUAACACUGUGUGAAGCUUAUUUUAUAAGGACCUUAAUCCCAUUCAAGAGGGAG